AGAUUCCGAUUGAGGCGUGUGGCGAAGAGCCGAAGCGGUCCGCAAGUAGCAGGGGCGACUUUUAGGAAGUUCUUCGCGCAUUGGAGCGUCGCGUGAGGAGUUUGAAGACCGGACUCGGCGGGUCGUUUUUUUUUGGACAGCGGUUCUGAUGGGCACACUGGCCCUCACCGCUGCGGCGGUCCUGAUUGGAUUUUGCUUCGUCAGAGACCGCACGUCGGGCCGCGUCUACUCGGAGCGGACGAGUCUGGCGGGACAAACGAUCAUCGUGACGGGAGCCAACAGCGGAAUUGGAUUCGAGGCCUCGAAGGAGCUCGCGCUGAGAGGGGCCACGGUCGUCCUCGCGUGCAGAAACCGAGACGCCGGCGCAUCUGCGAAGAGGAGAAUCGACUCCGCGCUGAACGCGCGAAAAAGGGGGGCCGAGCGUGGCAGAGUGCUGUUGGAAAUGCUCGAUUUGACGGACAAAAAAAGCAUUGAAAAGUUCGCUGAAAAUUUUAGAAACCUCAAUUUUCCGUUGAACGCGCUGGUUCUGAACGCCUCCAUAGGCAUGCAUCCGACGAGGGCACUGGUAAACUCCAAACUAGAGCUCUGCUUCACUUCAAACGUAUUAGGACAUUAUUACCUGGUCGAACUGCUAUGGGACAAAAUCGUCGAGGACCACACUCGAAUCAUCACCGUGACUUCCUCUCUUCACAAGUAUGUCUCUCUCGAAGUGGACCCGGCGACACUCAAAAAAAGGCUUCCAGACUUGCAGUGCGAACUGUCUUACAGGCCGAAGGAAGCGUACGCCAAGUCGAAGCUGGCCAACAUCUUGUUGGCGCACCACUGGGCAAGGCAGCUGUCCGGCAUCUCCAACACCAGAGCCAUGUCCGUCUCUAUGCACCCGGGACUCGUCAUGACUCCGCUGCUCACGAGGUACCUCCCGUUUUGGAAGAAGCACCUGUUCAACCUCAUCCUCAUCCUGCUGGGAAAGACAGCCUGGAAGGGCUGCCAAACGGUUAUCUACUGCUGCUCUCACCCGAUCGAGAACGGGAAGUACUACGGGAACUGCGAGGAAGAGGAGCCCAGUCCCGAGUCGCGCGACGAAGACGCCAUGCAGGCGCUGUCGGAGUCCUGUCGGGAGCUUUUGAACGCUUUCUAGCGCGCGGCGGGGAGGAGGAUGCGCCUCGGAAUGAGGCUCUGCCGGCGCUUUUCGGACUCCGACGGAGGCGAGUUUCGCAAAAAAAAAAUUCAUUGUUUCGCAGAGCUUGCCGGAAUCCCCGCGACGCUCGCUGCUCGCCCGAAGGACGACGCGCCAUGCCGAAGAGCGCCACCACCAACACCCGACAGAGGCACAUCGAGCUGAAGCUGAGGGACGGGACCGUGAACGAGCAAGAGGCGGAGCAGUACCUCGACAUCCCGCUCUCGCCGCCGGCCUCGGGGGGAGACUCCGUGGUCGAGAAGCUUGCAAGUUUGUCAGACGGAGAUCGAGAGUGGGCGUGCUGCAGCCUGGCGCACUUGGUGCAGAGUGAGCCGGAGGAAACGCUGAACGCCCUAGAGGGGUGCGGCGGACUGGUUCAUUUGGUGAGAGCGUUGUGCGAUAAGAAUCGGUUUGUGGCGUUUUCCGCGCUGAAUUUUUUGAUGUCGAUCUUAGAGACGCCCGAGGCGGUGAGUCGCGCGUUGCCCGAGCUGGUGUCGUUAGACGUGUACACUCCGCUGAUGAAUUUGAUGGUGGAAUUUCGCUUGCAGGAGUCGAUGGAGGUUGAGGGACGAGAUCAGCGCGCCGACGCGGAUUCGUUCGAAGCGUCUUUCUACGUGGUGUUGACCAAUGUGUUGACUCAGACGUCAGAGAGGCGUUCUGAUUUUUGCAAUUUGGUCCUGACCUCUAAAAUGGAGUCAUUGCUGAACUAUUGUCUGCAUCCGUUUGACUUGCCGCAGUGGGCUUCGUCGACUCAGGUGCAGGUCGCGUCCCUCACGCUUCUGAUUGCGUUGUGCGAUCCGUUCGAGGUGGAUUCGAAGUCCUUGGGGGAUUUUCCGAGACUUUUGGACUGUCAUUCGCUCCACCAAAAAGUUUGGGACCAAACGCUGCCGCUGUUGCCGCGCGUCCUCAUUGCGCAGCUGUUCAUUUACCUCUCCAUCGCGCGGAGCUCGGAAUGCGCCGCGCAAGCCGUGGAGCGGUUCUCGCCCCUCAUCGCUGAUUCGAUUCGCCAGACCGAAUGCGCGCGCUCCCAAACUUUGGUCCUGCAACUCGUGGCGCGGCUUCUCGAGUCCGAUGACUCCGCCGCGGACGACCCCGCGCUCGCGUCUGACGUCCCGAGGCCGGUUUACCCGUCCGUCGUCGACGCCCUGUUGAAAAACAACAUUCACAGGUCGCUUCUCGACGCCAUCCGCCAACUCGCUCCCAAUCAGCCAGAUUCCCUCUCCGCCGCGCUGGCCGCGCUCCAGAACCUCGUCCUAUCGUCAGUCUUUCACGCCUUCUGCCGACAGGCGUUCAUGGACAUCUGGCAGACGCUCGCGCCGUUCGGCUUCUACCCCUUUCCUUCGUCUGCCGACCACGCGCAGUUGGCCACGUCCAUCCUUCACACGCUCAUCGUCGCCGCCCAGCCGCCGGCUUCCGUCCUCGCCCUCGUCCCACCGGAUCACUGGACGUCUCUCUUCCUCGCGCUCGAUUCCGACCACCUCUCUUCGCGCGACGCUCUUCUGUGUUCUAAUUUGUACGGAAUUCUGUCAAAGUCCAUCGGAACGCUCUCCCCUCUCCCACCGCCCCUCCCGGGACCGCGCGCGCUCCUCUCUUGCUCGGCGUCACUCCUGUGCAGGUGGGUCGCCGACCUGUGCGCGUCUCCCCUCCCCACCGCCUCCGACGCCGCCAACGCCAUCAUGGACUCGUUCGCCGAGCCCUCCCACGACCACCUCCUCCGCUCCGUCCGCCGCGCGCCCGCCCUCUUGCGGUCGUUCUCGCGCCGCAUCCCCGCGCAGCUCGACGAACUCGCGACCAACUGGCAACGCUUCCUUCAAUACAAACACAUAUAAGCG